rnacentral:misc_RNA from 1 species
GCGCCUUGCACCUAGGCUCCAGGAGCCUUGAUGCCUUGGUGAACCUUGAGCAUAGUUAUUAAAGACGCGCCUUAGGCACCCCUCAAGCUCACCAAGCUCCAACUCUAUAGGAGAAAGGCAGGCGACAUUCACCAAGCCCUCACCUUAUGAGCCUAGAUGUGCGCCUUAUCCCAAGCCCAAGGCUCUAGAAAUGAGCUCCUUCUUUAUAUUCACCUUCGGCAGGCACUUCCAUUGACAAAAAGCACU